rnacentral:tRNA from 1 species
GGGGGUGUAGCUCAGUGGUAGAGCUUGCCUAGCAUGCAUAAGGACCUGGGUUUGAUCCCUAGCAUUGCCA